UCGAGAAUUUUUCUCAAUGGGCGAAAGCCUGAAGGAGCGACGCCGCGUGGGGGAUGAAUGGCUUCGGCCCGUAAACCCCUGUCAUUUGCGAACAAACCUCGCUAUUUAAUAGAUGGCGAGCUGAUUGUAGCGAAAGAGGAAGGGACGGCUAACUCUGUGCCAGCAGCCGCGGUAAUACAGAGGCCCCAAGCGUUGUUCGGAUUCACUGGGCGUAAAGGGUGCGUAGGUGGUGGGGUAAGUCCGAUGUGAAAGCUCCGAGCUCAACUCGGAAAUUGCAUUAGAAACUACCUCGCUAGAGGGUUGGAGGGGGGACUGGAAUUCUCGGUGUAGCAGUGAAAUGCGUAGAUAUCGAGAGGAACACCAGUGGCGAAGGCGAGUCCCUGGACAACUCCUGACACUGAGGCACGAAAGCUAGGGGAGCAAACAG
rnacentral:rRNA from 1 species